CAGGCAAUGUAGCAAUACAUUGGGUAGGGGAGCGUUGUAUACGCGGUGAAACAGUAGCGCAAGCGGCUGUGGAGUGUAUAGAAGUGAGAAUGCCGGAAUGAGUAGCGCGAAUGCAGUGAGAAUCUGCAUGGCCGAAAGCCUCAGGUUUUUGGAGGAAGGUUCGUCCGCUCCAAGUUAGUCGGGAGCUAAGGUGAGGCCGGAAGGCGUAGCCGAUGCACAGACGGUAGAGAUUCCGUCACCACCAAAAGAGUUAAGCACAGGGACACAUUUGAAGUCUCAGAGCCGGGUGUUGGUUCCGGUAGAGAUCGAGGGAAGUUAGUACCGAAGUCUGAGAUGGAAGAUGGCGAGAAAAGCUGUGUGUAUUUCUGAGGUGCCCGUACCGCAAACCGACACAGGUAGGUAGGAAGAAGAUUCUAAGGCCAACGGGAGAAGGGUUGUUAAGGAACUCGGCAAAUUGACCCCGUAACUUCGGGGGAAGGGGUGCUCCAGAGAUGGAGCCGCAGAGAAUCGGCCCAAGCAACUGUUUACCAAAAACACAGGUUUGUGCUAAAUCGAGAGAUGACGUAUACGAGCUGACGCCUGCCCGGUGCUGGAAGGUUAAGAGGAGAUGUGCAAGCAUUGAAUCGAAGCCCCAGUGAACGGCGGCCGUAACCAUAACGGUCCUAAGGUAGCGAAAUUCCUUGUCGGGUAAGUUCUGACCCGCAUGAAAGGCGUAAUGAUUUGGGCACUGUCUCAACAGCCCGCCCGGCGAAAUUGUAGUACCGGUGAAGAUGCCGGUUACCCGCGACAAGACGGAAAGACCCCAUGGAGCUUUACUGUAGCCUAAUAUAGGGUUUCGAUGUUGCAUGCACAGGAUAGAUGGGACACAGGGAAACAAUCGCUUUGGCGGUUGCGGAGUGGCCGUUGGGAUACCAUCCUUGCGAUAUUGGAAUUCUAACCUGCGGCUCUGAAUCGAGUCGGGGGACAUUGUUAGGUGGGCAGUUUGACUGGGGCGGUCGCCUCCUAAAAAGUAACGGAGGCGUUCAAAGGUUCGCUCAGCUUGAACGGAAAUCAAGCAAAAGAGUGCAAACGCAGAAGCGAGCCUAACUGCGAGACUGACGGGUCGAGCAGUAACGAAAGUUGGAGUUAGUGAUCCGGUGGUAUGUGAGUGGAAAUGCCAUCGCUCAACGGAUAAAAGUUACCCUGGGGAUAACAGGCUGAUCUCCCCCAAGAGUCCACAUCGACGGGGAGGUUUGGCACCUCGAUGUCGGCUCAUCGCAUCCUGGGGCUGUAUUCGGUCCCAAGGGUUUGGCUGUUCGCCAAUUAAAGCGGUACGCGAGCUGGGUUCAGAACGUCGUGAGACAGUUCGGUCCCUAUCUGUCGUGGGCGCAGGAUAUUUGAUGGGAGCUGUCCCUAGUACGAGAGGACCGGGACGGACGUACCUCUGGCGCACCAGUUGUUCCGCCAGGAGCAUAGCUGGGCAACUACGUACGGAUCGGAUAAACGCUGAAAGCAUCUAAGCGUGAAGCCGACCCAAAGAUAAGAUAUCCCACUGAUUAGAUCAGGUAAGAUCCCUUGAAGACUACAAGGUUGAUAGGCACGAUGUGUAAGUGGAGUGAUCCAUUCAGCAAGAGUGUACUAAUAGAUCGAGGGCUUGACCG
rnacentral:rRNA from 1 species